AAUGCAAGAGACUUUAUUCAUCAACAGGUUUAUUUUAUAUAUACCAAACUAAACUGGGGUGUGACAUAUGGGUGUUUUCUUUCAUAAUGACUGAUAAUAGUUUUGUUUUGAACUUGUUUCUGAGAAAUCACUUAGACUAAAUUACACCAGCUAUGAGUUCCCCUAAAAAAGGUCAAAUGUGAAACUGCAGGUGUAUUUUUAAAGAUACUGCCCUGCUUUGUGGCUAUUCUGAACACAUUCAGUACUAAAGCUCAAGGUGGCCAGGUUUGAUUCUAUAGGAUCAUGAAUCUACAGCAAUAUCCCUCUGCAUCAAGAGACCGAUGACAGACAUUUUGUUUUAUUUUUUUACCCUCAUAGGUCUUGGUAUAAAGUGAUGAAAAUACAGAGUAACAAAGUAACCACUACUGCCUUUGCAAGCAUUCCUGACACUGCCUUUUAAUAUCAGGGGCCAAUGGAAAAAAAACUCAAAGAAUAUCUUUGUGUAAUUCAUUUUCAUACCCGUUUUAAUUUAUCCUCAUUUGGUCACAUCACAACCUCAAAGUUGGGGGGGAAACCUGCAUAGGAUGCAUGUCACCUAGAAUAAAUACUCAUAUAGUUAUUAUUACAGAGAACAUCUUACAAAUGUUUGCAGAUGACAUGAUCUGCAGAGAGAGCAGAGUGCAAGUAAAGGAAAAGCCAUAGAGGUGGAAAUAUUUACUGAAGACUAGUUUUACUUAAUCCUCAAAAAUCAAUGUAAGGUUCACAUCUUAACAAGAUCUGGAAAUGCACAUCUUAAUAAAUGUUCAUUUGCGCUUUUCUGUAAUCACAUAUUUUCAUUUUUACACCUUUACAUAACCUUUAUUAGUCAGUGUUACUUUAACAAAGACCCCAGCUGCAGCUGAUUAAGGUACCUUCAGUAGUCCACAGGGAGGAGCGUGAGGCUUCAUGUUGUUUACAGAUUGGCUGAACAGUUUGUCUAUCAGUAACUUCACUCCAAACACAAAACAGAACAAAAUGGAGAAUCUGGCGUUUGGCCAACAUAACCGCAGACGGUUAUGAUAAUUGGUAUAAUGAAACAAUUUUCUUAAUAGGCAGUGGAGUGGGUGACAUCUAAUAUUCUGACUGGAGAUGCAAAAAAAAAAAAAGCUUUUCCAAAUAAAUCUCUGACACAGACAUUUCUAUCCACUCGUGUCAGCUGGACGGCAAAGGUCAUAGUUCGUGACCCCCGCACCAACAGCGCAUUGAUGAUGAUGAUGAUGAUGAUGGUGUUUUUUUCCCCCUUCUUCUUCUUCCUCCUCCCUCUCUGUCCGCGUGCCUCAACCCCCCCACUCCAAGCCUUGCGCGAGCCAGACAGCGUUGACGUCAUAAAGUCUGGGGACUUGUCAAAUUAUGCGUAUUAAAAAAAUAACGAGAUAAAAACAAUUUCAGUUUAGGUAUUAUUUAGCUUUCUUCAUAGGUUUCUGCGUGUCAUUGUGUGCGUGAAUAGUAAUGACUGAUUUCAUUGUAAAGUGUCUCUGAGUGUCUUGAUAAGUGCCAUAUAAAUCUAAUGACACUUAA